GUGAUAAUGUGAUAUGCUGGCUGGCGGCCGCCAUCAGUCAUCGGCGUUGUGGGUUUAUCACGUUGCCGCCUGUCGUCAUUGUGGGUCGACCUCCUCCUUCCACUAACGUCAAGAGGGGAUAUUUGCUCUUGAUGACUUAAUUUCACAAGAAAAUUUGUUGCCAGAUGAUGUUGGGACAUAGCGCAAGGGCUUUGAGUGCCAUUUUACUAUAAUGUUUCUAUGGGACAAUGAAAUCGAAUGAAUAUGGUAUAUCCCAUCUGAUGGCAGCUGCAUUGAUGUAUGACCAAGUGUAAAGAGCUUACUGUUUUACUUUUCUUCCUUCAUUCAUGUCUUCCUACAGAUUAUGUAACUGAAUCGAUUCAAUUGUGUUUAGAAAAUGCCUUUUCUUUGGUGCCAUUACCUACAAACUUCAUCCAUAACUAGACAAUGGCGGUGGUGAUUGUUAUGGAUACAAUCUAAUCAUCUGCUCUGUUAUUUUGAUUGGCAUUACCUAUUCUGAAACUCUUGUUUUCUCAAGGUGAUAGGCAACAUUCUUUCUCUUUGUGAGUGUGAUCUUUUUUUGGUGAUAGAUAACAUUUUUUUCCUCUUGAGAAUCAAA